GCGGUUACAAGGCAGCUUGGGGCGGGACUUAUAAAAACAAAACAAUUUACUGUAGUUGUUUGCUAACUGUUGUGUAGGUUUUUAUAAACGGUUGAGUCAUUUUUUUUUUAGUUUUAGCUGGAUAUGAGGGCAUUGUUUGGAUAAGUUCCCACAAAAAUGCCUCCGAAGAAGAAACAGGUCGCCAACAUCUCUAGCUCCUUAGACCUGGAGUCUGAGGAUGUCAGCCUGGAAACCACGAUGCCCACCACCGAGGAUGUGUCCUCCUCAGACGAGCAGCGGCACGGAUCCCAGAAGGUGACCCGGCAGCUCAUCGAGAGAAAGGAGCUCCUGCACUCCGUCCAGCUGCUGAAAAUCGAGCUUUCUCAGAAGAACCUCGUCAUUGACAACAUGAAGGCUGAUCACAUGACUAAGGUUGAAGAACUGGAGGAAAAGCUGAAUGACGCCUUACAUCAGAAACAGGUGCUAACUAUGAGGCUGGACAGCCAGCUGAAACUGGCUCAGGAGGACAACAGGAAGCAGCAGGCGCUGCGUAAGCAGGAGAUGGAGGCCAUCCUGCUCAGGCAGCAGCAGCUGGAGGAGACCAACCGCCGCCUGUGUGAAAAGGCCGGAGAGCUGAGGAGGUUGCUCAGAGAUCUGGACAUCUCCCCGGACAGGUACCAGGAGCUCCGCGGCCUCCCCGACGACCAAAUCUCCAUCCAGGAGUACGUAGCGGUCCGUUUCUACGAGGCCGUGACUCCUCUGAGGGCCGAAGUGGCUCAGCUCACCGAACUGAAGGGCCGAUUGACAGAUGAGCUCGACGUGCACAGAUCCAACAUGAGGACUUUGACAGAGAGCUACGAGGAGGAGCGCCGCCUGCGCUCCGAUCUGGAGCUGAGGACCCAGAGGCUGACCUUGGAGUUAGCUGACACCAAACAACACAUCCAAGACGGGGACUUUCGCCGAGAAAACUACCCAAAAAUCAAGCGAGAGCGGGACAGCUUUGAAGCAGAGCUGAAAGAGUUCAAGAGGCGAUUUGAAACCGUCGACUUGUCUCACGCAGCGCUGACCAGAGAAAGAGACGCGCUCAGCAACGAGGUGGCGACGUUGCAGCACACGGUGGCUCUGCUGCAGAAGGACAAGGAGUACCUGCACAGACAAAACAUGGAGCUCAGCAUCCGCUCUGCUCACGGAGAAGAUCGGUUAGAGAGGCUGCAGGUGCAGUUAGAAGACACUAAGAAAGCCAGGGAAGAGUCCUAUGAGAAAUAUGUAGCUUCCAGAGAUCAUUAUAAGUCAGAGUACGAGAACAAGCUCAGGGAAGAGUUAGAAAACAUUCGGUUGAAAACCAGCCACGAGAUAGACAACCUUCAGAGAACCUCAAGAGAGAUGUACGAGAGGGAGAACAGGAGCUUACGGGAGGCUCGAGACAACGCCGUGCUGGAGAAGGACCGCGCGGUGGCUGCAGAGAGGGACACCCAGUCCAGAUAUGACCAACUUCUGGAGCAGUUUCGUCAGCUCCAGCUGGGCACUGAUAGCCGCGUAGCAGAACUACUCAACCAGGCGAAGCUGAGCGGUUUUGAAGCUGAGCGCGCUCAGAUGCUGAAGGAAGAAACGGCGAAGAGCCUGGCUCAGUGCCAGGUGGAGUGUGAGAAACAGCAGAAGAAACUGGAGCUUCUCACUGAGGAGUUUUACAGACUACAGACGUCGUCAGAGAAGCAGGUGGCGAAGCUUCACGCUCAGAACGCGGAGCAGGCGUCUCGGUUAGAGACGUAUGAAAAGCUGGAACAGGAGCUGGACCAGGUCACCAUGCAGGCUGCUGAAAUUGAGAAUGACGAGGAGGCGGAGAGGGUUUUGUUCUCGUAUGGUUAUGGAGCCAAUGUUCCAACGACUGCCAAAAGAAGACUAAAACAAAGCGUUCACCUGGCCCGCAGGGUUUUGCAGCUGGAGAGGCAGAACACGUCACUGCGGAGAGAGCUGGAGAGGCUGCAGACGGAAAUACAGCAAACGUCUGAAGAGUUGUCUGCAGCCAACCAACUGUUGCAGCAGGCCCAGCAGCCUCACAGCUACCUGAUCAACACAGUGAGACAAAAGGACGGCCAGAUCAGCGCGCUGAAGGAACGCAUCUCCUCGCUUGAGGAGGAAGUCAGUUCCCUGAGGAAGGAGCGCAAUGCUCUGCAACAAGUGAGAAACGACAUGGCCGCCGACCUGGAGCGACUUCUCAGCCAUAGAGAGAUUGUAAAACAAUGUGCGAUUCCAGGAGUUGGCGAUGAUGAAACAGGUUCUGUUCAGCAUGCAGUCCAGACAGGGACCUGCUGUUGACCCAACUCCUAAAGCGACCACACGAAUCAACAGGACUGCGGACGAGUCGCCGAGCAAGCCUAAACCCACUGUGUUUACUAAAAAGGAUGUUCCAGAUUGGUAUCAAAAGCUGAAGCAGAAACAAAAAUAAACAUCUAUUUAUACUUUUGAUGAAAAAAAAAAAA